AUGGCUUGCAAUCACCUUCUUGGCUUCAGAUCACUCUCGACCCUUGUCGGCUCAAGGAUCAGUUGCUCCUUCGAUGGCAGCACCAGGAACCAAACAAAGAGAACAACACUGCAUCAUCUGUACGAGAAGCAAGGCCAAAGCCCUUGGUAUGACAACAUGAGACGACCAGUCACGGAUUUGAUUCCACUGAUUGCUAGUGGAAUCAGAGGUGUCACUACUAAUCCUGCGAUUUAUGAAAGAGCUAUGUUGUCAUCAGAUAUUAGAUUCAGGGAACUCCUACAAGCAAAGAAGGAUGUUGAAAGUGCAUACUGGGAAAUGGUUGUUGAUGAUGCUCGAGAAGCAUGCAAACUUUUUCAAACCAAUUUUACUGAUACAGAUGGAGAAGAUGGCUAUGUCUCCAUUGAGGUUUCACCCAUGCUUGCUUAUGAUACUCGGCGGACAACUGAGGAGGCAAAAAGACUUUGUGAAAUGGUGAACUGCCCAAACAUAUGCAUCAAAAUCCCUGCAACAACAGAAUCUAUAAUUUCCAUCAAGGAAGUAAUUUCACAAAGCAUAUGUGUAAAUGCAACAGUCAUAUUCACCCUACCGACAUAUGAAGCUGUUGUUGAUGCUUAUCUGGAUGGACUUGAGGCUUCAGGGCUCAUAGAUCUUUCCAGGGUCACAAGUGUUGCUUCAUUUUACAUAAGUAGGGUCGAUAACCUUAUUGAUCAGAAGCUUGAAGAAAUCGGUACCUCCCAGGCACUUAAGCUCAAAGGAAAGGCUGCGGUAGCGCAAGCUACUUUAGCAUAUAAGCUUUUUCAGAAAAAGUUCUCUGGGCCACAAUGGGAAGCUUUGAGGAAGAGAGGUGCCAGGAAGCAGAAGUUGCUUUGGGCCUCAACAAAUGUCAAGAAUCCAUCCUAUCCUGAUACCUCCUACAUUAAUCCCCUGAUAGGGCCAGACACGGUCUCGACCAUGCCAGAUGAAGCUCUAAAAGCAUUCUUGCACCACGGAAUUGUCUCGAAAAAUAUCGAUGCAAAUGUAUCAGAGGCUGAAUGCACUUACUGUAUGCUUGAAGAGUUGGGGAUUGAUUGGAAUGCCGUUGGAGCUCAGCUAGAACUUGAAGUAGUGGGGUCUUUCAAGAAGAGUUUCCAAAAUGUGCUGAAUAGUUUGCAAGAAAAGGCAUAAGCUCUUCAAUUCAGCAAUGCAUAG